GAAGAACUGACUGGUUACAGACAGUGCGGGAGCAGCGGCUUCGCUCAUGCGCGAGUCAUUUGCAGUUCGGACGCAUAGGUGCGAACGUCUGCUGCAGUGUUGCCAACUUAGCGACUUUGUCGCUAUAUUUAGCGAGUUUUCAGACCCCCUUAGCGACUUUUUUUUCUAAAAAGCGACUAGCGACAAAUCUGGCGACUUUUUCUGGUGUUAUUGGAGACUUAUUUAUGACGACUUUUUGACGUGAAAGCGGGUUACUCUCAAAAAGCAGCGGGUGCUGCCGUGGGUACCUCGCAGCUGGGGGAGGACUAUCCUCCGCCUGUGAGCACUUUGGCACGGGUGAGGUGCCUAUGGCAGCACCGCUGCUUGUUAAGGGUGUGUUCACACCGAACGCGAUGGGCGCGUGAAAAAAGCCCCAAACGCCCCUAACUUGACGCGUGCACAUUCGCACCUCUACGCGUGUCCAAGAAAAAUCCAUCGCGCCCCAAAAUAUCAUAUUUUAACGCGCGUGAACCGGAAAUGUGGGAGGGAUGUGGGAGGAAGUUUUGCAAGACCGGUAUCUUUGCAAGAUGGCAGCUGUCGAGCUAGCGCUUGAAGAGAGAGUCUCCCUUCUCUAUUUACUGUGGAGAGCAGAGUAGCGGCGUAAAGCACAUCCUUGCCGUACCUGGGUCCAUCAGGUCCUCCAGAGGCGUGAGCAGUUUGGUGAGUUUCACCACUUGCUCCAGGAGCUGCGCCUGGAUGACGGCCGAUUCCAGCGCUAUCACCGUCAUUCACUCGGCCAGUUUGAGGACCUGCUGUCCCGCGUCGGUCCCAGAAUCGCCCGCCUAGACACCGACUACAGGCGCUCAAUCCCACCUGCAGAGCGCCUGUCCGUCUGCCUGAGGUUCCUUGUCACCGCGGACUCCUUCAGCACCAAGCGUUCAGUUACAGAGUCGGUGUGUCAGAUCACCCCCAGGCAGCGACGGCCAUCUGGGACUGUCUAGUGGACGACUUCAUGGCUGUGCCUUCACCUGGAGACUGGCGGUCCAUCACAGAGGGAUUCCAGGAGCGCUGGAACUUUCCUCUGUGCUGUGCAGCUCUGGAUGGGAAGCACGUCCAGACAAAGGCACCCCAUAUAUCAUAUAGGAGACACACACAUUGAUAUACACUAAAUAUUCAUUUCAUUUCUUUUUUGUGGUGCCCAAAUUGAUGCACCUGCUUGAUUUUGUUUAAACAAUUAUUGCACACUUUUUGUAAAUCCAGUAAACUUCUUUUCACUUCUCAAAUAUCACUGUGUGUGUCUCCUGUAUGAUAUUUAACUGACAUUUUUUAUUGUAACAACCAACGAUUUAUACAGGAAAAUGAUGUCUAUUAACAAGGUUGCCCAAACUUCUGCAUCCCACUGUAUCAGUAUAUUUUGUCAUUAGUAUAAUAUGAAAUAAAUUCUACAUGUGUCAAGUCGUGUGCCA
ensembl:lncRNA